GAAAUGCGAUAAGUAAUGUGAAUUGCAGAAUUCAGUGAAUCAUCGAAUCUUUGAACGCAGAUUGCGCCCGUUAGCAUUCUAGCGGGCAUGCCUGUCCGAGCGUCAUUUCAACCCUCAGGGCCCCCCGUUCCGGCGGGCGGACCUGGCGUUGGGGAUCGGCCCGCCCCGUGCGGCGCCGUCCCCCAAAUACAGUGGCGGUCCCGCCGCAGCCUCCCCUGCGUAGUAGUUUACAACCUCGCAUCGGAGCGCGGCGCGGCCACGCCGUAAAACCCCCGACUUUCUGAACGUUGACCUCGGAUCAGGUAGGAAUACCCGCUGAACUUAAGC
rnacentral:misc_RNA from 1 species